rnacentral:misc_RNA from 1 species
GAUGAAGAACGUAGCGAAAUGCGAUAAGUAGUGUGAAUUGCAGAAUUCAGUGAAUCAUCGAAUAUUUGAACGCACAUUGCGCCCCUUGGUAUUCCAUGGGGCAUGCCUGUUCGAGCGUCAUUUGUACCUUCAAGCUUUGCUUGGUGUUGGGUGUUUGUCCCUCGGGACUCGCCUUAAAGUCAUUGGCAGCCAGUGUUUUGGUUUUGAAGCGCAGCACAAGUCGCGAUUCAAGGCUAUCCGCCCGCUUCCACAAGCCUUUUUCACUUUUGACCUCGGAUCAGGUAGGGAUACCCGCUGAACUUAAGCAUAUCAAUAAGCGGAGGA